AACACGUGGGGAACCUGCCCCAUAGUCUGGGAUACCACUUGGAAACAGGUGCUAAUACCGGAUAAGAAAGCGGAUCGCAUGAUCAGCUUUUAAAAGGCGGCGUAAGCUGUCGCUAUGGAAUGGCCCCGCGGUGCAUUAGCUAGUUGGUAAGGUAAGGCUUACCAAGGCGAUGAUGCAUAGCCGAGUUGAGAGACUGAUCGGCCACAUUGGGACUGAGACACGGCCCAAACUCCUACGGGAGGCAGCAGCC
rnacentral:rRNA from 1 species